ACAGCCACAUCACGCUGACCCACCGGUUCCCGUACGAUCACCGAAGCGAAGCAACGUCGAGCCCGGUGAGUACCUUGAUGGGUAACCACUUGGGAAUAGCAAAUGCUGUAAG